AUUGAACGCUGGCGGCAGGCCUAACACAUGCAAGUCGAGCGGAUGAAGGGAGCUUGCUCCUGGAUUCAGCGGCGGACAGGUGAGUAAUGCCUAGGAAUCUGCCUGGUAGUGGGGGAUAACGUCCGGAAACGGGCGCUAAUACCGCAUACGUCCUGAGGGAGAAAGUGGGGGAUCUUCGGACCUCACGCUAUCAGAUGAGCCUAGGUCGGAUUAGCUAGUUGGUGGGGUAAAGGCCUACCAAGGCGACGAUCCGUAACUGGUCUGAGAGGAUGAUCAGUCACACUGGAACUGAGACACGGUCCAGACUCCUACGGGAGGCAGCAGUGGGGAAUAUUGGGCAAUGGGCGAAAGCCUGAUCCAGCCAUGCCGCGUGUGUGAAGAAGGUCUUCGGAUUGUAAAGCACUUUAAGUUGGGAGGAAGGAAAGUAAGUUAAUACCUUGCUGUUUUGACGUUACCAACAGAAUAAGCACCGGCUAACUUCGUG
rnacentral:rRNA from 1 species